rnacentral:hammerhead_ribozyme from 1 species
AUCCAGCUGACGAGUCACAAACAGGACGAAACGCUCGUCCUGGAU